UGAGUGUGCUGGAAGACAUCAACUGGCCUUUGGACCAGGUGCCUUGACCCUUUAUACAUCUGAGUGAUCUGGUAUGGAAGACCUCAGAAGCAAGCAAUGAUGGGCCUGGUCAAAAGCAAAAUGGGAGACCUCUAACGGAAAAAUUGCUGUUGCAAAUCCAGACCACAGAAGUGUGACCAAAUAGUUGGCACCAUUCUUCAGAUGAGAUGUUAAACCAAGGAGCAGACGAUGGAAAUGCUUCUGUGAAGAUCUGAGUUUUCUCUUGCUGCGAUCUUGCUUUGUGAACUAGUCUUUCCAGGUUCUAGAUCUGCCUAAAGCUUUGUUUUGUCCUUGAAUAAAAACAAAACUUAGAGAUGUUUAGAGAACCCAUGCCUGGCACACUUUCACAUUAAAGGCAUGAGUACUGGUCACUUUCACUCUUUCUGUCUUAGUAUUCUAUACUCUGCAAAAUCAGACUAAAUGUAAACAUAUUAGAUUUCACUUGGAGCCACAGAAUUGGUGAAGCCUGGCUAGGACUGGAGUGAUAUACCAUUUUUUGAAACCUUCUAGUCCAUGUAGUUCUUUUCUUCAUUAUUUUCUCACCUGUUAGCAGUUAUAAGUGCGGUAGUCCUCCAAUUCUAGAUUUUUAUUGGAUUAGCUUUGUUUGUUUUCUGCUUAAAUAAAUUACUUUUCUUACCAAAAUGUGGUUAAAAUCAUAUCAUAAGCACAGGACAGGAUUUUUCGAAGCACAGUGAAAACAUAUUACUUCUAUGAAGGCAAGUGCAGUCACAAUGACAAAGUUUAUAAUAUACAUUAUCUGUGCAAGGUUCAAUCUUUAUAUAAAUUAGAUAUUAUAAGUUAUAAAGAAAAAGCAAGCCAUCUAAGAAAUAUACAUACAUUACCGUAUAUGCUUGCAUAGCAAAUGUUUCCUAAUUAAAUGGUGACAAACUCACAGCCCUGUUUAAUCCAAAAGCACAAAUAAAUUACAAAGUAAGUACCUG